rnacentral:rRNA from 1 species
GAACUGAAGAGUUUGAUCAUGGCUCAGAUUGAACGCUGGCGGCAGGCCUAACACAUGCAAGUCGAGCGGAUGAAGGGAGCUUGCUCUUGGAUUCAGCGGCGGACGGGUGAGUAAUGCCUAGGAAUCUGCCUGGUAGUGGGGGAUAACGUCCGGAAACGGGCGCUAAUACCGCAUACGUCCUGAGGGAGAAAGUGGGGGAUCUUCGGACCUCACGCUAUCAGAUGAGCCUAGGUCGGAUUAGCUAGUUGGUGGGGUAAAGGCCUACCAAGGCGACGAUCCGUAACUGGUCUGAGAGGAUGAUCAGUCACACUGGAACUGAGACACGGUCCAGACUCCUACGGGAGGCAGCAGUGGGGAAUAUUGGACAAUGGGCGAAAGCCUGAUCCAGCCAUGCCGCGUGUGUGAAGAAGGUCUUCGGAUUGUAAAGCACUUUAAGUUGGGAGGAAGGGCAGUAAGUUAAUACCUUGCUGUUUUGACGUUACCAACAGAAUAAGCACCGGCUAACUUCGUGCCAGCAGCCGCGGUAAUACGAAGGGUGCAAGCGUUAAUCGGAAUUACUGGGCGUAAAGCGCGCGUAGGUGGUUCAGCAAGUUGGAUGUGAAAUCCCCGGGCUCAACCUGGGAACUGCAUC